GGGGACGUAGCUCAGUUGGGAGAGCGCUGCCUUCGCAAGGCAGAAGUCGGGAGUUCAAGUCUCCUCGUCUCCACCA
rnacentral:tRNA from 1 species